GACGAACGCUGGCGGCGUGCUUAACACAUGCAAGUCGAACGGAAAGGCCAUGCUUUUGUGGGGUGCUCGAGUGGCGAACGGGUGAGUAACACGUGAGUAACCUGCCCUUGACUUUGGGAUAACUUCAGGAAACUGGGGCUAAUACCGGAUAGGAGCUCCUGCUGCAUGGUGGGGGUUGGAAAGUUUCGGCGGUUGGGGAAGGACUCGCGGCUUAUCAGCUUGUUGGUGGGGUAGUGGCUUACCAAGGCUUUGACGGGUAGCCGGCCUGAGAGGGUGACCGGCCACAUUGGGACUGAGAUACGGCCCAGACUCCUACGGGAGGCAGCAGUGGGGAAUAUUGCACAAUGGGCGGAAGCCUGAUGCAGCAACGCCGCGUGCGGGAUGACGGCCUUCGGGUUGUAAACCGCUUUCGCCUGUGACGAAGCGUGAGUGACGGUAAUGGGUAAAGAAGCACCGGCUAACUACGUG
rnacentral:rRNA from 1 species